rnacentral:rRNA from 1 species
UACGUAGGGACCAAGCGUUGUUCGGAUUUACUGGCGUAAAGGGCGCGUAGGCGGCGUGGUAAGUCACUUGUGAAUCUCCGAGCUUAACUCGGAACUGCCAAGUGAUACUGCUGUGCUAGAGUGCAGAAGGGGCAACCGGAAUUCUUGGUGUAGCGGUGAAAUGCGUAGAUAUCAAGAGGAACACCUGAGGUGAAGACGGGUGCUGGGCUGACACUGACGCUGAGGCGCGAAAGCUAGGGGAGCGAACGGG